AGGAGGCACUGGGAGUAAAACCUGGCCUUUGGCUCUACCAAAGACCACCCAGGGGACUGGAGAAAAGGGUGGUGACUGGAGCUACAGGCCUAUUGCGUAACAAGGGUGCCCUGGACAGGCUGGCAGGAAGUCAAGCCGGAGACCUAAAAGAGAAGGUUCUGGGGAAAUCAGAGCUACCUUGAUUGCCUUUGACAACACUCAAGUACUUCACUGGCCCUUCUGCUGCAGAACUUGAACAUGUGGUUCCUCAAAUACAGUACUUUCCUCCCAACUCCCACCACUCCACUUUCCUACUGUGACUAUUUCACUCCUGUAUCAACUCCACUGAAUCACCAUUUCCUUACGUCAGCUUUCCUUGUCCCCCCUGACUAGCAAUAAAUGUCCUCCUCAA